AUAGAGAUCGCUUAAAAAUGAAAUCUUUUAUUAAAAUGUUUAUUUUUCUCGAGAGAGAGGGAGAGAGAGUUCACGCUAGAGUGGAGGAGGGGUAGAGACAGGGAGAGCGACAGAAUCCCCAGCAGGCUCUGUGCUGUCAGCACAGAGCCCGAUGUGGGGCUGGAUCUCACAAAUUGUGAGGUCACAACCUGAGCCGAGAUCAAGAGUUGGACGCUUAACCGACUGAGGCACUCAGGUGCCCUUUAAAAGUAAAAUCUUAAAAAAAAAAAAAAAAUAACAGAACAGUUUAAACAAAAGCAGUUCCACAGAGUGUUUUUUCAUACUGGAUCAUUCUUUAUCUUUUCCUGGCCCACGCUGAGUGCAGGGUUGACCUAAGGCGGCCGAGGGAGUGAAGUCACCUGCCAGCCGGACGGAGCGCUAGGACGAGAGGAGGGCCACCUAGAGGUGUUCCAGAAAGGCCAGCAGAGAGGGUUCCCCCCGGACCAGCGAGACGUUAGUCCCCGAGGGCUCCAGACACUCGGCCUCAGUACACAGGUCACCAGCGAUACUGGCGCUCGGAACUUGGCUGAGGACACCAGGAAAGGCGUCCACAACCAGAGAGUAUCCAUCGGCAGUGCCUGGAGCCGGGGAAGCACAGGGGAGCAAGGCCCUUCCCAGGGACCCCCCGGGAGGGCGGGACACCACCAGGAAGCCACCGCCACGUCCCCGAGGAAGGCAGGAAGGCGGGCCUUGCGCUAAGGUGGCUCUUACUUCCCGCGGGACCUGUGACUGAUUUCAGCAAGCCGGCCCAGCUCUGGUGUCCUCAGGUUGUCCUCCCGCGGCGCCCCCUGCCCUCCGUUCGCUGGAGGACAGCCGUCCCCACCCCAACCGCCCGGGAAGCUGUUUCCACCUGCCACACUUUCACUCGCCAGCCCACCCAGGCCAGCGGGAUCUCUGGAAUCCCAGACCAUCAGAGCGGGGCCGCAGGGGAGCAUCGGCCUGUGAUUUUGUGGCUGGGGUUCCAGGAACCCACACAUAGAAUCUGCUUGGAGAACACAGUGCGGCUGCCGCUGAAAAUCCCGAGAAGAUGGGGCCCAUUGUUAUGAGUGAUUCACUUUCCUGUUCUUUCUCCCAAACACGCGGACAGAUCCACUUGGAACUUGUGUUUCUUUGUUGUUGUUUAAUAAAGCAGCAAUCAUAUACCGUGUGAGAUAAUGG
rnacentral:lncRNA from 1 species